rnacentral:lncRNA from 1 species
GAAAGAGGGAAACCAGAAUGACGGCUGAUAGUUACAGAGCCUCUGAUUACAAAUAAAAACAAGUGAACCUGCCAUGAUGGAGAAACCAGGACGCAAUCCACUCUCCAAAUAGAAGUGUUUACAGCAUGUGAACGUGAGAUCAAGGAAGCUGGGCAAUGUGAACUGCCUGAACCCCACAGGUCACUGAACUGAAACAGGAAAUCAGAAGAAAGGCAAGGGAGAAAAAACAUUCUUGGGAGGGGGAAAAGACAGCAUAAACAAGAACAGGAAGGGGAAUGCAGGUAUGUGCUGGCCCCUCCCAACAGCCUGUAUGGCUGCUGUCUGCUGGCAACUUCUACCCUCAAUAAGGAAGAGAACAGGCCCAAGCAAAGGGCAGAGAAUGGUUUCAAGAUGCUUUCCUGCUUUUGGGAGACCACCAUCCCAAACUCUGGGACAUUUUGUGUUUCAGAGGAUCUAUCAAGGGGCAGAGCACUGUGGAUUUUGCUAUAAUAUUAAGGACAAGCCAGUCAGUAGUUAGACAGUGAAUGCACCUAAUAAUUCGGUACUGCGGGGACGAAAUACUCAAAGCUCUUCUUUCCUUUGGAGUAAAGAAAACCCCUGUGGCAGCUCUCCCAUAAGAGGCUCUCAAGAUGGCAAUCCUAAUUCUCCUUGUAUCAAUGCAGAAGCCUCAAACAACUACUGAAAGUGUCAAGAAAUGUCAGAAAGAAAGAGAAGCAUUAAAUUAAUAUAUAAGAUUCUAUCUUGUAUCAGUUGACCAAUCUAGUAGACUGUAUUAUAAAAGGGAUAACUGGGAUCCAAUUGGCAGAACAGCAAAAGAAAGUUAAAAGCAUCACUUCAUUUUCAAUAAAGCUUAGAUAAAAAGUGUUUUGCCAGAAAGCUCAUAUUUGUAAGCCAAUUAAAAAAAAAAAGAGGCAGGGAAUACUUCUUGUGAGUUCGUCCAGCAUACUUCACCUCAACUCUACAUGCUGACCCCAGUGUGCCUGUCUCACAUCCCCUUCUCCCAGAGCUGGGGGAGAUGCCUACAACAACAAAAGUUGAUAUUACUUGGGUGCUUUGCAUCUCAGUAAUACCAAGCCAUAAACAAAUGUAAAACAUCAACCUAUCUGGUAGUAAUGCAAAGAAGAGGAGGAGAAAGAGGAAGAGGAGGAAGAAGAAGGAGGAGGAGAAAGGAGGAGGGGAGAAGAAGACAUACAAUGAUUUCAGUUUCUGUUCUUUAGUUGAACCUUCUUUGUUCAGCAUUUGACCACUAUCUUGAUGGCAUUUUUUUGUUUUUGUACUGGGCAUCGAACUCAGGGCCUUGUGCUUGCCAGGCAGGUGCUGCAUUACAAAGCUACAUACCCAGCCCAUGAUGGGAUUUUUUUAUAGCUUCUGAAACCAUAGGUCAUUAGCUUUUAGGUGGAAAUAUCUACAUUGGAUUCUCACCUGCCUGAGUUUAACUUAACUUCUGAUGACUUAGGGAGUGAAGGAAGAAGGUACUAGCUGUAUUUAAUUUGGAAUGGGCUGAAGAUGUAUUUUUCUGGGUAGAAACCCUCUCUUCAAGGUUGAUCACUUCAAAUUUCAAGAGCUACAGAUGAAGGAUGACAUGCUUCCUGUGCCAUAGUAAGGCCUUGAGGCUCUCAAUGAAACAUCACUUAAUAUUCAAGGGGUUUCUUUCAUAUGUGCCUUGCUUAGCCUCUGGCUACGGAGAUGGUUAGCUGAAGGUUUUUAUGAACCAUCGCAACGAACAGAACCAUAAAUCUCAAGUCUAAUUAGGAAUGCUAUUCAGUUUUAAGAUGAGCUGACACACUCUUUGUAGGUCUUUGAGUUAGUAAAGCCAGUGGAUCAAUAUCAGCUGAAAGGCUGUUUCUUUCUGUUCACACAUGGAACCCAACAAAGGAAAGAAUUCUUCCUAGGAAACAGCGGAGAGACCUAUUUCUUCCAAAGUGGGCAAAUAUGUAGACAAUGACCAUUUUUCACAAUAAACAUUAGUCAAACUGUUUCUUUUUUAAAGCAUAGAUUUAUUGGGUGAGUUUGUGUGAAUGUGUGCAUUUGGCAAUGUUCUCGAAGGUUGUUCUUUUUUCAUGAGAGGGAAAAAAUAUGUCUCACCAAAGGCCAAGAAAACUAUUUUAGCUAAGAGAAGAGCUGCACUGGGUUGUAAUGUAACCCAGAAAAUAACUGUAGCCAGAGCCAGAAAACACUGUCACUAGAGAGGCCUUGGUAAGAACCAGCCUGUGAUAAGGGCCCCCUAGAUGGCUGCACUUCUAUUUUUAUGACCUCUACUGCAAGAAAAUGACCUUAAGAUAACCUUCAAGUCCUAAAUUUCUCUCUGAAAGAAAAUAUUAGGAGGGAAUAAGAAAAUUAUGGAAAGGCCCUAAAGAUUGAAAGGGAAAUUCUCUUGAAUUUACUUAGAGAGAAAAUAAUCAAAUUCUUUUAAAAUUAUCUUUUAUCUCACAGUACAAAAGAGGAAGUACUAGACACAUAGUCAGACCAAGCUUUCACAAGCCAGUUGCUGAAAUAGGUUAAAUUAAAAGCCAUCGAUUUAAUUAGGUCACCUCAGCACUUUGAUCAGGGAACCAUUUACCAAAUGUGACACCGUUCAAUAUUUGGCUGUUACAGUGGAGGAAGAAAAGAAGAAUCAAUUGUAGAAACUGCCAUGGAUGUGCAUAUAGGCAAAGCAUCCAACAGGUGGGUAAUAGGCAUGGGCACCAUGUCCAUGAUUUCCAUUUUCUCACCUUGGAUUGCUUUCCCUUUCCUGUUCUGCACCCUAGGGGCAAACUGUCCCAUGCUUCCAGCUUCUGGUUGGGUCUGGCAUUUGUGCAGGCAGAAGAGAGCUGCCUGGGUCUUUCUUCUCUAUUCUGCC